AUUGAGAUGGUCAAAAGCAAACUUCAGAGCAGCAAGAUGUUACUUCCCACUAGUGAAGAUGCUGUAGGUGUGUGUAUAACCACAAUAUCAGCCAGUGGGGAAGAUCCUUCCCCUUCCCAGGCAGCUUUUGUGGCACCACAUCCCUGCCCAGCUUUUCCAGAGGGUUUUUUUUCUGUGUGUGUGUUUCUAUUUGUUUUUCCCCUUCCUGACAUAUUAAUCUCGGGGUCAUCUUAACCUUGGCUCUGUGCUGGCUCUGGGAAAGGGCUGCUGGCAAUAACCCUGCUGGGGGAGCUCUCUGUGGGCACAGUAUUUGGUAAUAAAAGCAACGAUUUUGGAGCAGGGAGCUGCGCGGCGGGAAUUUGUUAAAUAGCUUAUUCUGCAAUAAAUGCAGCAUAAAAUAAAAAUGAAUAAAACAAAAAUCAGAACAAAUGGAAAGAGCUAGGAGGGACCCUGAGAGGGCAACUGCUCCAUUCCUAGUGUUUCCAGGAUGGAUGUGCCUGCUGGAUCUGGGCAAUCGACACCCAGAUUGAUCACCUACCUCCUCCUCUGGCUUUUUUACCAUCAAAUAUUGAAAUAUUUGGGCCUUAGCUGCUUGUCAGCUUUGCUUCCUGUUUUCUCACUUUAUUGGAAGUCAACCCCAGUGUUGAGGGCUUUUUUUCACCAGUAGGAUACAAAAUCAGGAGGAUCAGUUAAUGCCUUACACUAAAGAAGAGCUGCUGAGCCUGGGUGUGUUCUCCCAGGGGUCUUUAUCUGUCUGCAGCACAAUCGUGUGUGCAUAUCAAAUUAAGAUGAAAUUAUGGCACUGGGACCUCAUGUAGAUCAAUUGUCUCUGUGUAAAAUGCCUCCAGCAUUUUAAACAUGAGUUCCUGCACCAGAGCAAUGGUCUUUGACUUAAUCUGCCCUCCAGGACUGCUUUAGGGGUCACUUAGAGUCAGUUCACUCCUUUCACACCAGAAAACUCACUGUCUUGCUGGAGAACCAGCAGCAAGAUAUUUUUUGGAGCAAGAAAAUAAUCAGGGUAGUUUUAAUGAGGUUCAGGAGGAGGAGUCUCUUAUCAGCAGAAAAUUCAGCUGUUUUCCCACUCUGUCCUUCCUUGACUUCCUUAUUAACCCCUUGUCACCAAGGAUGAGCACCAGGGCAGGGAAUGCUGUGCAGAGCAGAAAGGGAGUCGCUGCCUGAAGGGAAAAGGUUGGUCUGGAGAAUCAGGUGAGUACAGAAGGACCUGAAUUGCUUGAACUGCUCUGAUUUUUCAGUCACAUCAACAAAUUAGCAGGUUUUCCUAAGAGAGUCAUGGAAUGGUUUGGAUUGGAAGGGACCUUGAAGCCCAUCCAGUCCCACCCUUUGCCAAAGGCAGGGACACCUCCCACUAGCCCAGGUUGCUCCAAGCCCUGUCCAACCUGGCCUUGGACACUUCCAGGGAUGGGGCAGCCACAGCUUCUCUGGGCAACCUGUGCCAGGGCCUCCCCACCCUCACAGCCCCUGAGACAGAAAAUCUUGAACAACAGACUGGAGCGGACUGGAGUGCACAGGAAAGGGCCAGGAUGGGUGUUGGGACCUCCAAGAGUGGCAAACAUCUUUGACCUUGUUUCUCUCCAUAUUUUCAAGCCCCUGCAGUCCAUGGGAAAGGACACAGGUAGACUUCUCCAUCCAAGCCCAGUGUGCUCCGUGGAUCAAACCUCGGAGGGAGCUGAUGCCAAUUUUAGCCCAAGUUGCUGCAGCAGAAAUAGAUCUUCCUGAGCACACAUUUAAAUUCUUAGUAAAUUAUAUCUCAGGUUAAAAUCUUUAUUAAAGUGCCGGGGGGGAUUUCAGGCUGGCUGUAUGUACCUCAUCACAGGAGAUGGGCUGGAAAUUACAGCAAUUUGGAAAGAACAUGGAUUUGAAUCUUAGAGCCUGUGGUGAAAGUCAGUGCACAGUGAAUUAUUCCACUUAAUUCGUGUUCACACAUGGAUUCAGCUGGAGCCAAAGCAUUUCUAUGGUAUCACAUUUCUCCAGUGAGCUACUGAGUGUAACACAAGGGCUCUUUUGGGGGGGUUUGUGCUUGUCCUUGGGGUGUUUUGUUCCUUUGCCUUUGUUGCUCAUCCAGAGGCAAAUGCCAAUGAACUAGAUUUUUUCAUCUGCUGUGUGCAAUAACCACAGGGGUUAUUAUUUUAUAUAUAAGGUUCUUCCUGCCCUUGGCAGUUGGUUUUCUGUGGUGGUGGGAAGCAAAAGGCUGUGGAGCUCUCAUUCCUUGUGUCCUGGCUGGUGGAACUGCAGAGCCACGUUGAUGUGUGGGGAUGGUUAAUCUAGAUAAGAAACUGCCAUGGAAACUGUUUAAUUGGCAGUGAGAGAAGCCCCAGCUGUUCCUGCAAGCUGCUGAAGUUGUCCCUUUGCUUUCUGCUGCUCCAGAUGUUCCUCUGGGUCUGUCUGUCACCCUACAGCAAACUCACUUCUGUGAUGGUACCAAUGGCUCAAGCAUUUGUAGAGCUGAGUUUGGCUGCAGAGGUAACCUGACUUGUUUUGUCAAAAAUAAGUCAUGGAGCAAACCUGAUGUGCAAAAAUAUGUUGGAUAGCUCGAAGCAACAACCUCCUCCAUCAGAUCUGGGAGGUACAAGAGGUGUUUGUUUUCCUUCUCCACCCUGGCACUGGUGGCAUUCCAUCCAUUCACUGUGUGGGUAGAUGGGGCCACUUGUGGUUUCCAAAUCAACUUUUUCAGUAUUUUUCCCUGCACAAAACUUGAACAUUUAGUCCAUGUACUCAAAAUGAGAUCAGAACAGCAAGUUUUCCCCUUGGCCAUGGUGUGGGUGCCCUGCUGGCUCUGACUCCCACACUCUGAAGGCUGUUAAAAACAUCUGUGAACCAAAUGGCUCAAAGAACAGCAAGAAAAAAGCCUCAAUUUUAGUUGUGGUUAAAGAUUUUUUUUUCCCUUUUCCAAAUUAUCCACCUUUCUUCCCAGCCCUCAGCUCACACUGAGGCUGAUGGGUGGUUUUGGGGUGUGCAGACAACAGCUCAGGGAGGCAAGACCCUGCACUCCUUCCCUCCUUUUGUUGUGUGGGGCCUCCACAAUAAAAAUGUUAAGGGUCUGUUGACCAAAAAGGGUUGAAAAAUGAAUAUUUACACAGGACUCAAUUGUUGUCCAUCUUCCCCUCCACUUUAGUUCAAUGCAAGGAGCAAAUAACUGUGUGCAGUGAUUGCAGCUAUUGCUGAAUUACCAGCUUAUUCAUGACAUGCAGAUUACAGGGCAAUAAUUAUAGCUGAGCUUGCUGUCAUUUUAUGAGAUCCUCAAGUAUCCAGAUCUCCUCAGGGCUGGGGUUUUUUUGCUGGUGUGGCAAUGUUUAGCUUUACUGGAGGCACAGUUAAGUAGGGGAAGCAUAAGUGCAAAAUGUCCUUGAAAAUAAGGUGACAACCGAUUCUUUCUUUUGUCUGGCCUCUGCCUCCUCCUGUUAUAUUCUGGAUGUUAUUCUGGGUGCUGGCACAGGCAUUAGCAAUGCAAAAAUAACUCUGGGUUUGGCCACAUCCAUGUUGUUGUUUAGGAGCCCGUUGGAAUUUGGGUGGUGGUGGGGAGGAAGGGCUGAAGAUGGCUGGAGUAGGAGGCUGGGAAUUCAUUAAUUUUUGCUCACAUCAGCAGGGUAUUUUUUGUUAUUAAUGACAGAAAACUUACAGUGCAGAAAGGCACAUUAGAAUGACAGGGUAAGAGGAAAUGACCUCAAGCUGCAUCAGGGGAGGUUCAGGUUGGACAACGGUGUAGAGUCCCUAAACCAGGUGAAAUGGUUGGGUUUGGUUAAACUGAGGGUUCCUGUGUGACUUGGCCCUGGGCUUCUGUGACUGGGACCUUUUUGGCCCCCCAAACCAGCACCUUUCUCUGCACAGCCUUGCAGUUGGUGUUGCUGGCAGCACUUUGACUAACUCUUAGGAAAGCUCUAUCACAGAUCUACCUCCCAAAAAAACAGGAGCCAAAAUAUCUUAACUGUGUUCCCUGCAAGGGGACUUGGUGCAUGAAUUGAUUAAAUAUUUACACGAGCUUUUAGAGUCAAAUAGUGCAUAUGAACUAAAUUUUAUCCUAAGUCAUUAAAUUCGUACUUUAAAGCUCAUUUUUAAAGUCCCCUAGUGGGGACAUUAAAAGUAUGUUUGAUGGAGUUGAUAUAGUUGUAAUUCUGUGCUAAGAUCCCAGGUGAUAGAAGGGGAACUCAGCCCAGGUACUGGGGACACAGAAACGGGAAGAUCUCAAACACAAAAGGGUCAAAGUUAAAGGUUUAAGAAGAAAAGCAGCAUCUUUUUAAAAGGAAUAAAAGGUGAGUUUGACUCCAAAUAUAAUUUUGUUUUAAAAACUUCGGCUUUCUCACAAGCCAGGAUCCAGAAUGAUGGUUUCAUAGCCUUUAAGAUGUUUCAAACAAGCACUAUUAUUCCCCAGGAAAAAAAACCAUCCCCCCUCUCUCCCAGGUGCCCUCUGCAAAUUGAAUCCACAGUCCUGAAAACCCAGAGCUGAUGCCAAGCAUUUUAAUCUUACCAGAAGUAAACAGUGAGCACCAAUUUACAUAAAAAUCGACUUGUAAAAUUAUUUCAGUGUUAACAUUGUGACACUAUGUUUGUAGUUAAUUAUGUGGAUUAAAAAGCUCUUCUUUAGGAAAAGCCCGAAGGAAAAUGAAAUGAAAAGAAGGAGCAUAUUCUUCAAGGACCACUGAGUCUGGAGGUCUUUUGGAAGCCUUCCUGGCAGGAGGAUUUCAGCAGGGUGGGAGGUUUGGGAGCCUGGAGGAUGCUCCAGAGGUGAGCACGUGGUCCCAGGUGGGUGAUGUUUGCUGGCACUGAGGGUCCCCCACGUUUGCUCAGACUUUGCUUUGUGCUGUUCUCCCUCAGCUCAUUUUCUCCAUGUUGUCUGAAAAAGCUCUGGGAAGGAAAAUGGGAGUAAAAAUUGUCUGUGAGGGCAGGGAAUGAAUUAAGGAGGGAGAAGGGCCCUGGAGGCAGGAGCGGCUGGAGCUCAGCUGGCCCUGGCCUGUGCUGUGUCACUCGUUGCAAACAGCUCUAAGUUAUCAAACCUUCAGCCCUCUUCAGUUAUUGGAUGAAACAUUUUGGCUUGUGGUGAAGAGAAGCUCACAGGAGAUGCUUUAAUGGCUGCUUCUGAUCUUAAAACCAAACAGUCCUAGAACUGCUGAGAGAAACAUCCCUGGCAUUUACUUCAUGAGGAUGUGCUGAAGUCUAUCCCAACACAGAGCCUGCAUUUUCAGAUGCUUGGGGAUUACUUUUAUCUUCUUCCCUCUAUUAAAUGUACCUCAGCUCUGCUGCCUUUCCCACGAAUAAAAUGUGCUGGCUCUUUCUUCCAGGAAUCAUCAUUUUCAAGGCACUGUUCAGCGGCGCGUUCGCCCGUGUUUGUGCUAGAUGGGAUCACUGUUGUGUCAUCCACAGUGUUCCCUCUGCACUGGGAUUAAUUUUUGGCUGGUUUAUGUGGGGAGAAGCCUUCACUGCUUCACCACUUUGUAUGGCUUCUAAAUCUGAAUAUGUUGUGGAUUCUUUGGAGAAGAGAAGGUUGUGUGGAGAGCUACGAGGACGCUGUAUCAGGAGCUGUAGUGGAGGAAUGGGUUCAAAUUGAAAGAGAGCAGGGUUAGAUGGGAUAUGAAGAAGAAAUUCCUCCCUGUGAGGGUGGGGAGGCCCUGGCACAGGUUGCCCAGAGAAGCUGUGGCUGCCCCAUCCCUGGAAGUGUCCAAGGCCAGGUUGGACAGGGUUUGGAGAAACCUGGUUUAGUGGAAGGUGUCCCUGCCCAUGGCAGGGGGUGGAAUGAGAUGAGCUUUAAGAUCCCUUCCAACGCAAACCAUUCCAUGAUUCCAUGAUUCUCUUAUCUGGAGCUGAGGACUUUUGCCAUGGCUGGAGCAUGGAGUGAACAAGAUCAGGGAGAGGGAGAAGGUCUCACCUGGUGGUUUCUCAGGCUGGAGAUGCUCUUUGAUGGUGUGAAGAGUUGAUUUUCAUGGUUCCCUCUGAAGAAUUUUGGCUGGGGGAUGCUGAUGGGGUUUGGGGGGUCAGCAUGUGAUCCCUGGUAUCAGCAGAGAAAAAGCAGGAUAAGGGGAGCAGCUCCUCAUCCCUGCUGGAGGAGGGAUGCUGUGCUCAUCUCCUCCCGAGGAGAGCCACCACAGGGAGGAGGAAUCACACACCUCCAGUGCCAAAUGCCAUCUGACUCAAGGGAAGGAAAAUCACACCUCUUUAUUACACAGAUUUAUCUCGCUGUGGCGGAGCCCCACAACCACCACCAGAUGCUCAUCUUCUCAGUUGCUUUAUUGGAUUCUGGGACAUCCUCGUAAUUGCUGUGAGUGGGAGAUGAUUCCCCAGCAUCUGGCAUGUGUUAAUACUGAUUCAGAGCUCUUGUCAAUCCACUUAGGAGAGCAUGGAUGUGCUCCCUGUGCAGGCAAGAGGCAGCCUGGAAAUUCUAAAGCAUCACUGGAUCCUAUUUUUCUUGCUUUGAAUUGCUGCUGAAUGACUGAGUCCUUGCCACCAGACCUGCUGCAGGGUGAGCAGUUGGAGGUGGGGAGACGUCGCCCAGAUUUCAUCCCAGUUUCUGACAAUGGGCAGGAAAAUGCUGCCCAAUUUCUCCCAGCCUUCCCCCAGGUUGUCUUGCAGGAGAUUCUGGAACGCUCUCCCAGCACAAGGUUCUCCUCAGCCCAUGAAAAUCCAUUUAGCACAACAGAAGUCUUCCGAUGAAUUAAAAUUAAUUCUGUUUUAAUGUUUGGUUUAGGUUCAAGAGGUCUCCUGCUCCCUCUGAGGGUGGUGGCAGAUAUCAGUGAGCACAGCUGCUUGGGCACUGCCUGCAGGUCUGUGGGGGCAGAAGAGUCUCAGCAGGUGGGUUUCCCUGCUCAGCUCAGAGUGAAGAAGAAGGAGGAAUAAAUCCAGCUAAAAGCAGAUAUUUCAAGAAUCGCUCCAAAGCUGCUGUUUUCAUUUCAGGUAGGAAUAAAAACAUGGGGUUUAGGCAGUUUUUAAAAUUUUUCUUCUCUUCCUCUGAGCAUCCUGGCAGGGUUUGGUCAAACAAGGGUUCAUGCUGGCAUGUGCAGCAAUGCUGGCAACCUCCUGUUCUCCAGGCAGAGCUUUGGAGGAGGAGGUUUUGGAGGGGCACAGUGACGCAGAAGAGUCUGUUUGAAGGAGGGAAUGAAAUACUUCCCUGCAUCCCUCCUGCCUGAGGAAUGCUGCUGGGUGUUGAAUAGCACAGGAGGGCAGGGAAGAGGGAUUCUCCAGGCUUGCAGGGCUCUGUCUAGACUCCCUAAUGCAGCGGUGCCUUGAACUCCUGCCACGGCCUCUCGGCGCGUCCUAUAAAUGGAAGCGGAGGAGCUUCCCACUGCCAAAGCCUCAGUCAUGUUAAUGAGACCCCAGUUCCUGUCGAAUUUGGCAGCCUGUCCCUCUAAACCAGUGAACUUGCAGCAGGUGGUAGCAAAGCUCAUUUCCUAAAACCACAUCCCCCUGGAAGCAAAAAAGCCCCACCUGACUUCCCGUGGUGAGGCGGCUGCAUCUCCCUCCAGGCUGACGGGGGAUUCCAGGUGUGGGGAUGGAUGUUCCUGCACGGGAAACCUGGACACCAGCACUCCACAGAGAUGAUAUUUGGGUUGGCACAUCACUCUUGUCAUCUUGGAAAGGUGACACUCACUGCCCGAAGCCCAUCCUGUUGGACAUGGGAAGCCUGUCCUGCUGGCUGUGUGAGGCUGCAGCCACCACAAUCCAUCUGGUUUUUGGGUGUUUCUGUUCCCUCUGGCUCCAUUAGAGCUCGUUCGGGUCACCGAGUUGGUUUUGGUUUAGGAUGCAUUUCCUUCUCCACCCUCCUUUCUCCUCUUUCUGGGAUCAAGUUUCUGACAGCUGAGCUACUCUUGUCUCUCUGUUUCCCACUGAAGGCUGAAGCAGGGCUUGGUCACCUCUAUUUUUCCAAACCCAGCCCAAACAAUGAACAUCUGCCAGGAGACAGAGGUUUUCCUAAGCCUGUGGUUUGAAUAACUCAUUCUUUGCAGCCUUGCUCCUCUCCCAGGCACAUGCUGCCCACGAGGAGCGGGAAGGACAACUCUAACCACUGGAUGCUGCCUCCUGUGAACCCACACCCUGGGAUGAUGGGAAUGCAGUGCUGGCCAGGCUCAAAACCUCCUCAUUUCACUCCCUCUGGGGUUGUGGUGUGACCUUUCCCAUGGCACCUGGAGUGGAGAAAUGUCCUUCAUUAUUCCUCCAGGAAUAAUGAAGUGGUUGAGGCAGAAAAUGACCCAGCAUCUCCCAGGUGCCAGUGCCUUCCACCCUGACUGGCAGACACUUGGCAAAGCCCUGCCCUGAACUCACCUGACCAGUUCUCUUCCUGCAAGCCCAGAGAAGCACCACUGCUUCUCUUAGCAUGCAAUCAGAGUCUCAGGUGUAUUUUAAAAGAGCCUGAAGUUUCCCCGAGUGUGUUGUGGUUCAUGUGCUGGCAGUUUUGGGUUCCUGGGAAGGCACUCCUUGGGAAGUGUCAUUGAGGGCCUUGCAUCUCAGAUGAGCACUCACUCCUUUAUUUACAUGCAGGGAAACGGGCCCAGGGAGCUCCUGUGCUAAACUCCAUAACAAAUGCUGACAAAACCUGCAAAGUCCUGCUCCCAUUUCCUGCUCUAAAUCCCUCACAGCAGACCCUGAUAUCCAGGACUGGGAGCCAAACCCUCUCAAGUCAAUGGAAAGAUUCCCCCUGACUUUAAUGGUCUUUGCAUGAGUGCCUAAUUCCUUCCUGUUCACAGGCUCUCUUGGACUUGGUUAUGGAAACAACUGCAGCUAUAAAGUGCUGCAGUGAACUGUAAACCCUUCAAAGCAGCGCGAGGGCAGAUUUCCUCGUCCUCCCAGACAGCUGGAAUGGGUUUUGUUUGACAAAAAGCCUGAUGUAUGUCCUUCCAGCCAGCGCCGUGGCUACAGCGUGAAUGAGUGUCUUAACAAAUACAUUCAUGCAGACGGGGUUUGUGGUCAGCCCACUGGGGCUGGAGCCAAGCUCCUCCCAGCGGGAUGGGGAAGGCAAGGGAGCCUUGUCCGUGCGAGGCGAGGCUGAAGCUCCGUGGCUUUGACGUGCCAGCAGCUCUCAGAGCUGUGGUCCCGGGUCUUGCAGCUUCUAGGAACUGUUUCAACUCCCUUCCUGCAAAGGCCAUGUCACUGGUAGAGACCAGAUGCUGCCCAGUUUUGUCAGCUCUUUGUGAAGUGGAGGGGUUUUGCCCCAGGCUUUGUGCCUCGCUCCACAAAACUCUGGCAGAACACUUAAAGAAAUGCUUAACUCUAAGGAUAUAGAUGUGUUUCACUGACUUCCACAGGGAUUUGGCUGGGGAGGGGUCUCGGUGGGUCUGGCUGUGUGAUGCCAGCAAGGGGAACAUGGGAUUUCCACCCAACACUUGGGACUAUUGACUGGCACCUCAAAGCGUGAGAUCUACCUGCUCUGGUCUCAUCAUACAAGGAGCAAUAGCAGCAAACAGAUUUUUGAGUCUUUAUCAAGCCCAGAGACACCAAAUGUGACUGUUAGAGGAGCAGUGCCUUUCACAGGAGUUCUGCCUGAGUGUUUUCCAGCAUGGAAGGUUGCUCAGCUGGCUCUCGGGGGAGAGGAGGCUGAUGUUGAUUGCUCUUUCUUUCUUUAUGCCCUAAAAACUCUCUGGAUGAGGGUUUAGGUUGUUUGACUUGUUUUACUUCGCUGUUCGAGCACUGGAUGGGUUUUGCUGGUUUUUUUUAAAUCAGGGACAGCUGGGUGUCUGCACCCCCCACCUGCCCAUCCCUCCCAUCGUGUGCAGCCCGAGCACAAAUGUGAUCCCAGCGUGGCCUCAACGGCUUGGGCACAAAAUCCCCACUCCUGGAGCCACGUCCUGCAAGAGGAACCUCGACCUCACUUUUGCAGCUGUGCAUUCCUGAGAUGAAAAGGGCAGCUCAGGCCUGGGCUGGUCCUGUAGCAGAAAAUCAGACCUGGGCAAAUCCAGUCCAUGGAAAAGUCUGGCAGCUGCAGGAGCCGCCUGGCUGCUGGAAAAAUCCAUAGUGAGCUCCAUCAGUGACCCCCUCCUGUCACCCUGAUUUGGGGAGAUCCCCCCCUUGGCUUUCUGAGUGCUUGCCCAGGGAUCUCACUGGAAAUGUGGCUGUGUGAAGACUCCCAGUUCAGGGAUUCAGGAAUUACAGAGUGCUGGCCUGGCUCUUUCAGGAGGAUUAUUUGCUUUUUAAAGUCCCUGUCUGCAGCCCAGGCUGAUCGUUCUGUUGCAGGGGAAAAUAGGCAGCAGCCUGAGACAUGGAUGAAGUAAUGAGUUCAUCUCUCUGCAGUCUAGCCAGGUAUACAUUUUUUUCUCCCAGAACUUAAUUAAAAUGCAUACAUCUUUCCUCACAUUUUUAUGAAGCUCAAUGGCAAAUAAUGGUCACUCUCUAAUUGCACCAACAUUGACUUGUUUUCAUGGCUGCAAAGGAUGGAUCCAAGGGCAGUAUCCUUCCUUCUCUUGCAUUUGGCUACUCUGGGAUGUGCUAUCUCCAGCAAGCAGCCAGAAGCCUGGGUUUUAUAUCUGUUCUAGCACUCCCAUGGGCUGGACUCUGCUGGGGAAAGGAGGAGACUUGUCUACUGGAAAAUACAUGCAUUAUUCUGGGAUGGCUGAUAAAUCCUUACCUGGCUCAUGCUCUCCCUGUUCUGUUUUCCUGGCAUUGCCACUGAAUCCAGGGACUUUAUCCUGUCAGGAGUCUGGAGCACUCUGGCCACAGUUUGCUGCCCUCUCAGAGCCUUCUCCUGCCUGGACCCCUCCUGGUGUCCCCUGGGAAAAAGGAAAAUAAAGGAAAAUAAAAAUCCAGGCAAGUUUGAUUGAAUAAUGAGUUUAGUUACUUUACCCAGCCACAAAACUGGGCGUAUUUAUCCAGAGCAAGAUGAAACAGGGGCCCUCCUGGUGCAACAAAAUCAUCUGUCCUACAAAGGAAACCACCAGCUCCAUUGUGGGAAGGGUGUAAAGCUGUUGAUGGAAACGAGCAUUCCAUGAUCCUAUGGCCUUCCACUCCUCUGUGAUUUUGGUUACUCCAGACUGUGAUCAGCACAGCCAGACCAGUCCUCAUCCCAGUCCUGCUGGCUACUGGCCCCAGUAGUUGCUGGUGAGCGUGGCUGGCUGACGUGCCUGGUGGCAGGUUUCACAGGGGGCUGGUGCAGUCCCAGAAAUGCCUUUGUGCUCCUUUGUAACAUCCAUCCAGCUGGGUUGCAUCCUGCAGGGGUGUUGGUUAUGAAACGGCUGGUUUUACUGUCACAUUUUUAAAAAUUCAGCCCUUUUUUAAUAUGGAACUGGUUUCUGGUGGCAUGAAUAUUGCAGUGCUGUGUUCUGCUCGAAAUGAUGCUGCUCAGACGCGCCAGAGCUCGGGGGGGCUUUUUAACAUUUCCUCAUCUAAACCCGACCAGUCCCACGGAAUCAAAAUCUAACCUAAAAUGCUAAAACUGCUCAGAUUGCACUUCAUGCAUGAGAAAUGAGCACAUUUCGAGGUGUUGCCAGGGUGGAGGCACUAGGAGAGAGGGUUGUGGACUGUAAGAGAAGGUUAUGCACCGUGGGAGGACGUGCAGGUCCAACACGUCUCCACUGGUGGGUGGUUUGGGUCCGGUCCAAGGAGAGGAGGUUGGAAGGAAGGAUGUGGCUCUGCUUGGGUGCUUUGUGGCCUGGCCAUCUGCAAGGAGAAGGAAUAGGCACCAUCCCUCCCAUCCACCCUCCAAUUUAGUGCGUGCCUGGAAAAGGCAGUGGUGGGCGCUGCCGGGAUCGUAAGUGGCACGUGGAUGACAAAUGGUCCAUCCCUUGGGCUUUCCUUGGAGGCUCGGAGAGUCGUGGCUGGAGUGAUGGCAACAACAGAAGAGGUGGCUGCAGGACCAGAGGGCUCAGAGAGCUUAGCUUGGCUGCCUUUUCCAGGAGGAGUUAAUCAGCUGGAACACGUGAGGGCUGCAGGGCGCGGUGAUGAACGGGAGCAUACGGAGGGGGAAGGCUGGCUGGUUAAAAGAGCAGUGGGGAUGGCACAAAAGUCCUUCUGGCAGCGUGAUUUAUUAAGCUGUGAUGGUGUCUCUCACAUUCAGUGGCAGAUGCCUCAUCCUACAUGACAUUUAAUGCAGGCUGAGAGAGGUUUCACCGUAGGAAACCAUUCUCUGCCUGCAAGGGGGGCGCUGGGCGGGCUGGCUGGUGACUGCCACACUCACAGCCGGGAAGGGAAUUUUCUAAAUCACAUUUUUAUUAGGUGUCUAAUUGACUCAUCAUCCCUGCCCCCCCUCGGUGCACAAACAUUUGCUCUGCCCUGAAAUGUGAGAUGAGCAAGGCUGGCGAGAAAUGCUUUCUGAAUAUAGCUGGGGAGAGAGAGAGAGAGAGAGAGAGAGAGAGGGCUGAGCAGGGUAAGGGAGGAGCAAAUUCGUGCCAUUUUUUAAAACAAGAUCGUAAAAGACUGUAAAAAAAAAUCCCCAUAUAAAAAAUAACAACAACAACAACAGAAAGAGGUUGUGGUUUCACAAGCCAGUUUUCAUUUCUGGAAGUUGAUGACACCCUGGAUUGCUGUUGUUUUUUUAGACCUCUUUCAGUUUUUUUUUUUAGGAUGGUUUGUCUGUAGUGUGGGUAUGUGUGGGUAGAGAGCUGGGAAAUAUGCAGAGGGAAGGAAAAAAGCUAAAAAUGGGCAGGAGCAGGCUGGCUGCAUAUGCUUUUUCCCCUCCAUAUAUAAAAAAAAUAAUUAAGGAAGAUCUUGAAGGUGUUAAAGAUUUGAGGUUUGUGGGGAUGGAGCACAGGCAAAGGAGGGUGAUCCUGAAGAUCACAUCUAAUCUAGGACAUUUUGUGCUUCAUUGAGCACCAUGCCCCCCUUCACUGCAGGAGGGCUGUGUCUCAGUUUGCAAAAUAAUCAUCCAAACUUCUGAUUUACGUCCCUUGGAAGCUGCCCUGCUCUGCAGGGAGGAGGAGGGCUGCAGCCAGGCUGGCCCAGGGAGCUGGAUGGUGUGGUGGUCUUGCAGGUCUUGUAUCGGUGCCACCAGGAAAUUGGGUUCUUUUUGCUGUCCAGUUUGGUGUCACAUCUCAUUUUGGCAUUUUUGCUUAGAAAACAGUCUCGUUCUUCAGAAAUAUUUCUCUUUUCUUUCUUAAUUUUUUAUUUCUUCAAGCUGAGCCCCACUGGUCUCCACAGGAACUGGAGAGCUGGCUCAGCUGAUCCCUGAGUGGGGCAGAGGGAAGGUGGGAUCUGAGGGCCAAGGUUCAUUCUUUGCCCAUUGCUCCUUUCUAAUAAAAUAAAGUUUUACUUGAAAAGUUCAGACUAAUUCUCUUCUGUUGUUUUUCUCAGCUGGAAGCUUCCCUUUAAAACAUUAAUAUCCACAUUAUUUUUUUCCCCUGGCAGGUUAAUUAAUACUUGAUUCAUCACCUCAAAAGCUAAUGGGUAUUUAUCCAGAUUGUGAAGGAAAUUAAUGCCUGCUAUAAAUAACUGUGAUAACUGACAACCCAUCUUUACUUACGCUCCUUCUUCUUCAGGAAACAAACUCUGCUGGGCUCUAGAGGAGUUAAUCCUGACCUAUUCCCAGGGUUGGACUCAGUGUUUUCCUACUUGAGCUUUACUUUGUAAACAUGGUGCUUUUUUUAUGGGGAAAAACGUCAGCUUUUGUGGAGAGAGACCCAGACAACUCAGCAUAAUCACUCCAGCCUGGGUCAGCAAAGGCCAGUGGAGACUGUGGGUGUUUUCGUGGGCUGGGAAGGCUCUGGCUCUCUGUGAAAUAUUAGUUUUGGCUAUGGGAGAGCCCUUUCCAAGUUCUUGUCUGCUUCCAAUAAAUGGUGUUUAGUGCCUUUGUCUGCAGCUCCCCAGCUAUUGUCAUCGAUGACCUUAAUUAGGAACACACCAGAAAUCAUGUCGAGUCUGUCACUCACACACACACAAUUAGAAAGUCAUUAUUUACUUUUCCUGUUAACUCACAUGUUCCUCCUGGGUGCUGCUCUGCACCCUGGACAGUCCUCGUUAUCCAUGGAGGCUUCAAGGGCAGGAAUAACUGGAUGGGUGCUGGAAAGCUGGAUUGGCACAGAGGUGGCACAAGGGGUGAAGUGGAUGCUGGAGGCCACCCAGAGCAUGACCUGCUGUGAUGUGGUGCCUCUGCUUUUCCCACUGCUCAGAGCUGGGUUUGCACCAGGUCCUGCAUCUCUGCUGUAGGUCUGAUGCUGCUCUGGUGGCUCCGGGGGUGGCCAAGAGUUCUGUGUGCUGCAAAAUACUGCUGACAGUGUUCCCAGGCUCCUGCCCUCUCUGCAGGAAAACCCAGGGGACAGCCUGGCCAGGGCUCUGCAGGGUGGGCUCUGUCACUGCAGCAAUCACACUGCUUUUGAGGCAGGAUAAGAGGAACUGAAAGAGCUCCUCUGUCCCGUAUGACUCCGUCUUUGGUUUUCCCCAUAAGUGAGGCCAUUUGUGAGGCUGCCUCUAGGAAGCAGCAGCCUCUGGAAUCACCCAAUUGUGUUACAGCCUCAUCUUUUGGACAUUUCCCCGUCCCUCAUGAAAGCAUCAAGCACAAAGGAGCAGCCAGGCAUUUUUUAUGAUCGCUUUAAAAAUCCACGCUGCUCUAGAGAGGAUGAACUUACUUCUUUUUUUUUUUUUUUUUUUUUUUCCUUUUUUCCGGGGACAUUGGCUCAUCAAUUUUUAAUUCUUGAGCUUGGCAGCACCGGUUGAAUUAGAAAGAGAGCAACUGAUUUUAAUGAGCGUAAGAUUAAUGCAGAUGAACUUGGCUGGAACUGCGAUCCGGCUGAGGAGAGAUGAUUGUCUCACUUCACCUGCCAGCUCCCUCCUCACUGGGCUGUUCUGUCCCCAGCAUUAGUGGAGCAGAGCGUGUUCUCGUCACAGGUCUUCACCUGCAGGAGAGGUGCUCAUUAACCAGCCUGGUUCACACAGGAUAUUUUGCACAUUAACCCUUGGCAGCUGCUCUGGACCUUCCACAGUCCUGCAAGGUGGUGAGGAAUGAGAAGGGUGAGGAUGGAUGUGCACUGGUGAAGGAAAAACCUCCCCUGACUCUGGUACCCACUGGAUGGGAAGGAGAAGACUUUUGGCUGCUGCAUGAGGCCACCACAGCUCCAAGAAAGCUCAUGAUCUACUCCUGUUGCCUAUCUCUUGGUGGAGAGCUGUUGUUUUAUUUAUGGGUCAUAUAAAUAAUAUAAACAUGAUAUGAGAGAGCCCAGAACACCCCUCCCUGGGCAGAGCUCUCCCACUGCCCCACACAACCCCUGAGCUCAAUGACUUGCUUUCCUACACACCUGAAAUUACAUAUUUGCAUAGUGAGUGGUUUUAUUACCGAGGAAAGAUGGGGGAGGCUGAGCUGAACUAAUUUUAUUUGAUUCUGUGGGCAACUGGCAGUUUUAUAUCUCUGUUUUAUUUUUUUAUGUGCUUUGAUCAGGUGGUGCUUUGCAGAGAUCACAUUGCUGCAGGUUUAGCCAGCUUGGGAUUGUCAUAAUUAGUCUCCCAGGAGAGCAUCAGGGAACUGUGGAGGAAAAGGCCAGACCAGCAGCUGGUGAGAUCACCCAGUGACUUGUGCCCAGCUUUACAGGGACCUCCUGCCUGACCCACGACAUCAUGACCACGGAUCAGCCACAGGAUCAUGUUCUGCUUCAACAUCCCCCCCAGAGGGGAAGGAGGAGCCAGGCAAGGUGUAUUAGCAGCCUCAGCCCUUGGGUUUGUGGUGCCUACAUGACUCUUUGCAUCCCAGAGGAAUAAAAGAUGGGACAGAGCAGUGGGACUGUGGAGGCAGGUGGAGAGGACAGUGCUGUGAGUCUGUUUUGCAGCUGCAGUUUUGCAGAUCUCAGGGGUCUAGAUGGGAAAUCUGUGAGGGCAAAGGGGUGACAGGGCUAAAAGGCAUCCUACACCCCAUCGGGGUUUGUGCCACCUCCAGCUCUGCAGGAGCUGCGGUGUCAGAACUGGGAACAUCCAUCCCAGAGUCCAGCAGUUCCUUCUGGGGCUUCUGGAAACCUAAUUCCCAAAUAGCAGCUUCCCUUCUGUGCUCACAGCCCUUGCCACUGGGCCAAGAAACCCAGAGACGACCAGUGCUGGGGGCAGCACUCACCAGGAGUCCUGGCUAUGAUGGGCUUCACCCUUGUCUACCCCAAAAAUGCCUGGGCAAGGGGGGCAGGGCUUGGCCAGGAUGGAAUGUGGCAGCUCCAGGGGUGCAUGGCACGAUCCCCCUCCAGUGCCUGGAAGAUUCAGGGGUCUGGAAUGAUAAAGCACCUCCCACCCCAAACCCCCAGGUUUUUCCUCAUCAGUGUUACCCACUCACUGUUGCCCCCAGCCUGGCUGGGGUUGGUGCUGUGCUGCUGACCUGGCCAGGUGGAGAUGCCAAGGCAAGUAAUUAUUUUUGGCUUUUUCACAUUUUCAGCUUGUUAACAACCAUUGUUCCCUCCACAUCUGUCAGCUCAGGAGAGAACCACUGCUUUAGCUCUGUGUCGCCAGGGAGAGCUUAAAUAUCGUCAUUAAAAAAUUCCUGCCUUGCAUCAUCUCCUCAGACAUGCAGGAAGAAACCUUUGCAAUUAGAUUCCCCGUGCACUGGCAGGAGGGCAGGAGUUCUUCCUUUUUUCCCCUUUCUGUGAUGAUGAUGUUCUGUGAUUUUAGGGCAGCAGGGAAAAAAAACAAAAAAGAAAAAAAAAAUAAAAAAGGAAGUCUGUUUGAUUUUCCUCAUUAUGUUAAGCCUGGUUUUACUUUCUGAUUGCCAAAGCAUGAUAAAUGGAACAAAGAUUACCUAGAGAUUUUCAAAGAUUUGCUUUCAAUUUGAUUUUUCCUGAGCCUCAUUAAGCCUGCAGGUUUUAUCUACACUUUGUUCUUACAGUGGAGUGACAUGACCAUAUAUUAAUAGCCAUAUUUUUUUCCGUUGAAAUUAAAACCAGAUAGGCUUCUCAUGCUUUGCUUUCAAAUCCUAUUUUAAAAAAUAUUGAUCAUGUGUGUGUUGUUUUCCUUUCCCUCUGACACUGCUGGCUCUGUAAAGGACAUUCGCCAGGGAAAUGCUUUCAGUCCUGGAUCUCUGGGCAUUACUGGGUGCAGUUUUGUGGAUUAAGGAACAUAUUUUGGAAGGUAUAAUGUAAAGAUAAAAGAAAAACGUGGCUUUCAACAGAGAGGCAGACAAGAAAAAUAAGAUAUUAAAGCAGGAGCUCUACAGUUAGGGGGUACAGAGGAGCUCAGACAAGAUAAGAUAAUCUGUGAUGUGCCCACAUGCAUCUUUCAGGAGAAAAACGCCAUUGGAAGAGCUUGUCCUCCAUGAUUUGAGGAGAAACUCGUGGCUGAGAGUCCUGUGUGCUGCUGUCUAGGAGAAGUUUGGAAAAGGGUGGCAGGGGCUGGGCAUGAAGGACAAUGUGGGACACACCACACAAAGCCACCCUGACAUUCCUGAUGGUGUUCCUUCUGCCGGAGCCGGGAGAACGGACCCACCUCCUGUGUUUUCCAGUAUCAUCAAUAUACUUGAUCCUGAGGUGUCCCUUUGGCAAAGGGGAGUCCCGGGAACCAUUUGCUUUCAAACCUGGACCAGGUCUUUGCAGCCACGUCCACAUCAGCCAUGAUCCAGCUUUUUGACCUCUCCUUCCAUCCGUGAACCCUCGGUGUGGAUCCAACGCCUUUGGACGGCAGCGCUGAGCUGCAGAACAAGGGGUCCGGCUGGUAAAAUUUGAGAAAAAACCCAAACAAACAAACAACAAAACAACCCCCAAAACAACCCUAGAGAUGCAAAUCUGUGGGGUGGCCGGUUUUUGGGAAGGGAUGCAGGGAUGCUCGGCGCGCGCACCGCCCGGUGUCACCAGGAGGUGGCACAGCUCGAGCGGGGAUGUCGCGCCGGGUCCCGCAUCCUGGGCUGGACCCGCAUCCCGGGCUGGACCCGCAUCCCGGGCUGGACCCGCAUCCCGGCACCCCCCAAAAAGCGAGCGGCGGGAUUCGUCGGUUCCAGGAAAGAGGAGAAAAGGGUCUCGCGUCUCCUUUCUCGGAAAGCCAUUGUGCAAAACCCGCGCGCACGGAAAAAAAACGGACAGAAAAAAAAUAAAAUAAAAAAAAAAAAAAAAAUAGAGGCACGAACUCCGCGUUUGAUUUGGAGAGAAGGCAAAAAUGAGCCCUGCUUUGAGAGCACGCAGCUGUCGGGACACCCACUGCCUGUGUCCCCGUGGCCUUCCCGCACGAGCAGAGCCUCCACUGACUCCUGAUCCCCCCCCCGGUGCCCUCAUUCCCUGCUCCAAAUCCCAGCAGGCUGUUCCUGAAGGGAACUCCAUUCGUGGCUUGUAGCACAUCAACAGCCAGCAGUUCGCAGAGGUUUGUCCUGCAGAAGCAGAUCCAGCAGCAGCACAACACCGGGAGGGCUCCGUGGAGCAGAGAGGACAAGGUGUCUUGUGGCCUCUGAGAAUCCCAUCCACAGGUCUCCAUCUCCGGAUUCCUACAUGGAAUCAAAAGCAUUUUCCCCACAGGACGUGUUUAAUCCCUGCUCUGUGGGCACCUGAGUCUGAGGUGAGACACCUGGAAAUGGCAAAUCAGCAUUUUUUUUCUCAACAAUGGCAAUUUUCCUUUCCUAGAAAAGGCAGAACAGAGGCUGCAGAAGAAGGAGAUCAGCCAUCAACAAUUGGACUUGAUGAUCUCAGAGGCCUUUUCCAGCCUUAAUGAUUCUAUGAUUACAGAGCAGAAGUGUUUGUUUUGAAUGAAGCAUUUGACCUGCAGCCCUCCUGCUGGAAACAUUGUACUUCAAGAAAGUUAUGGCCUAUAUUUCACUUGAAAUAAAAAUGAUUUUGAAGUGCAUUGCUAUUGUUGGUAAAACAGAAUCCCAGAAUGGUUUGGGUUGGAAAGGACAUUAAAGAUCAUCUUGUUCCAACCCGUGCCAUGGGCAGGGACACCUUCCACUAGAUCAGGCAGAGCCACAUCCAGCCUGGCCUUGGCCACUUGGCCAACAUGGACCAGGCCACUUAGCCCACACCCAGCUUGUAACAAAAGAAAAAAAGUGAUUUCUUCCCAAUAGAUAAAUUUUUAUUUCCCGAGAAAUAAAUUUCUUCCCAGUUUUUCCUUUCUGGGUUCAUGUGUCCAAAGUUAACUGAAAUAGUUCACAGUGAGUUAAUGGAGU